AGAGAGAGAGAGAGAGAGAGAGAGAGAGAGAGAGAGAGAGAGAGAGAGAGAGAGAGAAAGUGCAGCCUUGAACUUGGUGAUAGGGAUUUUGAGUUCAAAUCAGGCUCAGUAGCAGCCUUGUUGUUUGACCUUGAGUGAUCUGCUUAAUUUCAUAGCAUUUGUUUGCUCAUCUGCAAACAAAAGGGGGACUGCUGAUCCCGGCAUAUUGUGGAGAUUAAUUAGUUUCUGAAGUGCUGAGAUCAACAGAUGAAAGGCUGUGAGUGGAAAUUAUUUUGUUUUUAAAGGAAUAAUCGAUGUGUGUGAAUAAAAGAGAACUCACUGAACUAAAUUACAGGCACUUGGCUGCUGGUGGGAGUCCGGGGAAGACAGAAUAUUGCUUUUUGCAAAGAACCCUACAUUCACCCCAAAAAUAGCAGUGGGAAAAUUGCUUUUUCUGUGAUUCUGAAAGAAUAAGAAAUUAUGCAAAGGAAAAUAGCAAGAAUAACAGGAGAAUGUGCGCAGUUAAGAUACACUUCAAAGUAACUUUCUUGAGCAAACAACCAGGC
rnacentral:lncRNA from 1 species